rnacentral:lncRNA from 1 species
UUUGAUAAAAUGUGAAGCAUUUAUCCUUCACACAUUCAUAACAAACGAAACAUGUAACAUACGUUUCAUUUGCUUAAUUCUGCCGACAAUUCUCAUGCAAAUGCUACAAGUUUUAUAAAAUUCUAUACAUCUCGUCAAAUAGAGAAAAAAAACACACCACACAAGGGAAAAAAACGAAGAAAACCCACUUGGUUGGAUUCGACACAUGCAACAUAUAGCCACAACAAGUGUGACCACUACCGAAACUCGAUCUGGUUAUUUUGGGUGACCAAGUGGUUCUUCUGCAUCAAAAGGAGGGAAGUCCUUGCUAAUCUGCUUGCAUCAUGUAACAGCGGGAAAUCAGUGGCGCAAUUGCACUCUCAAACCCUCAAAGCCGGCCUUUUCCAAUACGGCUUCUUUUCCACAAAACUCAACGCUCUGUACGCAAAGUAUGAGUCCCUCGUCAUGCCCGCAAGGUGUUCGACGAAACGCCCCACAGAACUGUCUAUCUCUGGAACGCCACCCUUAGGAGCUCCUGUAGAGAGAAUUGAUGGGAAGAGACCUUGUGUCUAUUUCGUAACAUGAUACCCGAGUCAAGAGGCAAUGAUGAAAAGCCUGAUAAUUUCACCAUUCUCAUUGCUCUGAAGGCGUGUGCGAGGUGAAGGGCACUGGUGUGUGGAAAAAUAAUACAGGGUUUGUGAAGAAACAUGAGAAGGUAGCAUUGAAUAUGUUUGUGGGUUCUGCGGUGAUUAAAUUGUAUUCCAAAUGUAGAGAAAUGGGCGAGGCUGUGAAAGUGUUUGAUAAGUUUCCUCAACCGGAUGUGUUUUUAUGUACUUCUAUGGUUACUGGAUAUGAGCAUAAUGGUGAUCUUGAACAAGCACUGGAGUUUUUUCUCCCGAAUUGUGAUGUUGGGGCUCAUUAAUCCUGACCGAGUGACGCUUGUUAGUGCUGUUUCAGCUUGUGCACGGUUAUCAAAUUUUAGAAUUGGAAGUUGUGAGCAUGGUGUUUCUAUUAGGAACGGAUUCGACUCUGAUUUAUCUUUAGGUAAUGCGUUGCUAAAUCUCUAUGCAAAGACGGGUUUGGUCAAAACUGCCACUAGGUUGUUCACAAAGAUGCCGGAAAAAGAUGUGGCUUCUUGGAGCUCCAUGAUUGCCUGUUACGCUCAUGAUGGGGAUGUAACAUAAGCGUUAAAUCUUUUCAACGAAAUGAUUGAUAUGAGAAUUAAACCUAAUUCAGUGACUCUGGUAAGUGCGUUGCAAGCAUGUGCACUGAUGAGUGCAUAUUUUACCAUUUAUUUUAGCCCAAAAGCUACAUUUUCUUGUGACAUUUUAGACUUAAAUGAAAGGAAUAACAUGGUUUUGUGUUUUUAUAAUUAAAUUAAUGAGUUGCAGAAAAAUCAUGUUAUAAUUCCAUGGUUUUAAUUUAAUCAUGUGAUCUUAUUCUAAUUUAAAUUUCUAUGCCUACGGCCUUUGAUUGAAGUAUGUAGGCUAUUUGGUUUCAGAAUAUACAAUUGGCUUAAAUUGACUAAUCUUGUAAUUUAAUUGCAGGUCACGAAUGAGUAUUAAGUUUGGUGAGUUAUGGGGAAGAAAAGAAAAACACAACAACAAAAUGAAUCAAAUAAAAUGAGGGCAAAAUGAGGGCAACAAGGGGAGUGGACGAAAGGUGAAAGGGGAAAUUAGUUUCUUUGAAAUGGGGUGGGGGGAGACCGAGAGAGGAAUAAACACGACACACACUUGCAUGUAAAUUUCUCUAAUGUCAUUAAUGAAUCAAAUAAAAAAUUAUUAAUUUAUUUGAUAAGAAAAUAAGCUACUUAUAUGUUUAAUUAAGAACUCGUUUGGCAUUGCUUCGCUAAAAACGCUUCAGCUAAAAGUGCUUUUAUUAUAUCCACAUUGAAACUCUUAUUAAAAAUUCAAGUGCUUUCUAAAAAAGACACUUUGGAAUGCUUUCUUUCAUUUCCCAAUUGUUUCUUCUUCAUCGUCAAAGCUUUCGAUAUUGAGAUCAGAUAACCUCAAAUCUUUUGCAAGGUUGGACCUCAUCAGAUGAGUAAUCGCUUAACUCUUUAUCGUCGUCAGAGGCCUCCUCAUCAGACUCAUAUGGUGCAGUCUGAUAGUCCUCUUCCUCAUCAGACUCAUAUGGUGCAGUCUGAUAGUCCUCUUCCUCAUCAGUAUCUUCAUCAGACUCGUAUGGCACACGAUCAUAGUCCACAUAUUUCCAAUCUGAAUCUGCAAAUUCCCAUUCUACGAUAUCCACUCCUGUUUUCUUCACCUUAAUUUGUUGAUCAUCCUCUGUUUCAAUAAAGUCUGCAUGCACACGAACCUUGUCGCCACCUUUCAGAUUGAGCUUCUUGUUCGUAAGAUUUCCCAGCCAAAGAUAACAUUCAUGGGAAGCAGUUACGGUGGUCACCAAUGGCCAAAUGUGAAAACGAGUUCGCUGGGUACGAUUAACAACAUGAAUGCAUAAGGACCCAGUACAGUCUGAGUUGUCCGAAGAAUAAAUGAUGCACACAACCAACCCUCCUAUAUAAUCAAAAGUAAGCGGCAUUUCAAUUUCGACAGUUUCAUCCUGUCGCGCUACAUAGGGUAACCGGCGAGGAAUAUCAUUUACAGAGAGAGAAAGUCCACCAAUUGUAUACCCCUUCCAUUUCUACAACACGAGGUGCAAAGUUAGUAUAACCAACAAUACGAAAAUCAGAGAGGGAGAGCGAAAGUUCCAUACCAAUAGGAUGUUCUCCUUAAAAGUAGCAGUGAGACUGGUGCACCCUUCCAUAUAAAGGGUAUGCAUGUUGCAGAUGAAGUUAUCCAGGUUUGGAAUAUCUUUGAGUUUGCGGCAGUCUUUCAGUUGCAAUUCAAUCAUUUCCGACAUCUCUGGAAGGUCGGGCAUAAUUUCCAGUUCCGUGCAGUAACUCGCUUCCAGAUUAAGCAAACUUGUUGGCAAAUCUGGGAUUGCCUGAAGGUUUGUGCAAUGAUUUAGAUACAAAGAUGUAAGCUGGGAAAGGCCACUGAGGAUGGGUAGCCUAUUAAAACCAUUUCCAUCUAGUACUAAAAUCCUUAAAGAAGAUAGACUCCGAAGGCUUUCAAGAACGGCAUCAUCCGUUAUAUUGCAGUCAUCAAGACCUAAAUGCUGAAGCAUCUUCAGUUGUGCUAAUAAAUGGUAACCCCCAGACACACUCUUACAGCCACUGAGGGCCAAUUCCUCGAGAUGUGGGAGUUUUGAAAAGUCUGGUAAUUGAGUCAGGUUACAGGAAUGAUCGAGAUAAAGAAACUUCAACUUCUUCGGCAACUGUUUGGCAAAAAGAUAGAACAAAAAUCAUAAUCCAUAUUAGAGAGAGAGAGAGAGAGAGAGAGAGAGAGAGAGAGAGAGAGAGAGCUAGAAUGAUUGUCGACUGAUGUUGGUAUUUACAAAACACGGACGAGGAAAGGAUUAAUAAUUUGGUUGAGGUUAUGACAAUUAUAUGUAUUGUACCAGAUCGGAAUCCUCCCAAACUCGGACAAGCUUGCUGUAGCUCAACUCAAUAAGAACUAAGUUUCGUAAAUCAAAAUCUUCGGGUAUGACCUCUAGAGGAAAUCCAUGCCAACACAAAGAUCUUAACUCCUUGGAAAGAUGACGGUAGCCUCCAGUGAGCUUUACAUUUUCGAGUUGGAGAAAUUUCAGAUGCCGCAUCUUCUUAAAUGCUUUUGUGCGGAAGGGAUGCUCGUCAGAAUUUUCUGGCAACGCUAAAGUUAGCCCUCUAAUUGCUUCCGUUCCCUGUUGGGGGAAAACAAAAACAAAUCUAAUUCAAGCAGAGCCAUGACUAUCUAUGAACGAACUACAAAUGCAGCGCAUACAAUGCAUUAGAUGUGGGAUAUGCAUAUGCUUCUGUUUAUUCACAUACAUUCAACAUAACAUUUUUAUUGGGAUUUGGGAAAGCACUUACAGAUUCGUCUCUUAACACGCUUGUUACGUCUUCAUGAUGCCAUAAUCGACUACGUUUUCCAGGUUCCAUAGCACAUUCUGCCCUCACAAUUUCUCUUCCCAUGUCUCGAAUCAAAUCAUGCAUCCUAAUGAAUCCUCCUGAAUCAAAAUCUAGAAGACAUCGAUCUUGAAUGGUUUUGAAUUCUGAUUCUACAGAAAAGCGACUGCAACUAUCCAAUAUUGCCACGACUUCAGUUCCAACCCAGUUAAUAAAGAAAUGAGAUAUGUCAAGGAACACACCUUUCACAUGAUCAUCACUUAGCCCAUCAUAGCUUAAUCUAAGUGUUUCAUGAAUUUUUCCAUGUGGAAGAUUUCUCAAUUUAUCCAAUGUACUUCUCCAUAUGCUUUUACUCUUUUUCAUAGCCAACAAACGGCCAAUGGCUUUAAGAGCUAGCGGCAAUCCUCCACAAUAAUCAACAACAUCUGUUGCGAGUUCAAUAUAUUCUUUAUCAGGACAAUGAUUUCCAAACGCAUGCCAACUAAGGAGCUUAAGAGCUUCUUCAUCCGUCAUUGUUUGUGCCUUAUAUUUUUUAUCCACCUUCUGUAUAUUCAGCACUUGUUCAUCUCUUGUUAUCAAAAUAAUCCUACUUCCUGGACCAAACGAGUGAUGUUCUAUCGCCAAUUCAUCUAAUUGGUCCGCAUCAUCUAUGUCAUCAACUACGAUGAGUACCUUCAUGCUUCCAAGUCUUUUCUCUAUUUCCUUGGUCCCUUCGGCAACACUACUUAUUUUAAUGUCAGGCCGUUUCAAAAUAUCUCGAAGAAGUUGUUCUUGCAGACUAACCAUAUUUUUCUUUUUACUCCUCACCUCUUCAAGGUAACAUUGACCACGGAAACUAUGAUGGUAUGUGCUAUAAAUGGCUCUCGCAAGCGUUGUUUUACCUAUGCCGCCCAUACCCCAAAUUCCAAUUAUUUGAACAUCAUGUGAACCUCCAACAUCUAAGUAUUUAGUACUGAAUUCUUCCACGCGAAAAGCUAUUCCAACUGAGUGCUUGGCUUCUUUUAAGUCGCUGGUUUUUAGUAGUCCGAUGAUGUCACCAACAACUUUAUGGAUAAAUACUCCUUCACGCCUGCCAAUUGGAAAUCCAAAUUAUGCAAACAGAUGACUAAUCAUGCAACAGCAUGAUUCAUAUGAACUAAAUGCCUUAUGCAUCACGACAUGGCUGAUUAGUGAGUAUCCCAAAAGCUAAUUGUACAAGAUGCGAUUAAAUUUUGUAAAAGAGGAAAUUUGAAAUGAUACCUGUCUGCAGUGGUUUUAAGAUCCUGGCCAACCAAAUCUGCAGAAGCCUUAAGAUCCUUUCUCCACUGCUCGACCUCAUUUGGGUCUUCAUCCCUUUCAUGCUUCUGAAAUGCUUCCCCAAAACUACCACUCUGUUUCCUCACUUCAGAAGGGUCAACGUCGUAGAAUAUUGGAUAGACUACUUUCCCCUCUUGAACUUCUCGGCACCUCAUGAUCAUCGACAGCUCCCUCAGGCAAUAUCGGGACUCCGCGUAACUCUUUGAGAAGACGACGACCGCGAUCCUCGACCCUUCGAUUUCUCGGUCAAGUUCUCUUUGUAUAUUCUCCCCCUUUUUGAGGUCGUAGUCUAUAAACGUGUUGAUUCCGGCACUGCUUAACGCAAGGGAGAGGUGGUCUGUGAACCCAGUGCGUGUGUCCUCGCCUCUAAAGCUCAGGAACACCUCGUACUUCCAGCGGUUUGAACGCCGAGAGGAAGACGAACCGGCGGCAGCGGCGGUUGCAAGGGCGAGGCUGCUGGUAUUCAUUGAUUUCAAGCAAAGAAGUGAAACCCCUGAUCGUUUCCCAAGAUUCCCCAGCGAAACUCCUGAUUAUUGUUUUGGAUCGCUGGAAGAUGUGAGAGCAAAAAAUAAUGAAGAAAGAAGAGGGAGAGAAGAUUCCAGAUGCGGCUGAGUAAGAAUGAAACUUUGGGCUUGAAAUUUGCUAUGGUUUGUAGUAAGAAGGCUUUUCUUAACAUGGGCUUCAAAUUUGGGCUUGAAAUUGGCUAAGAAAAUAAAUACCUAUCAUAAAUAAAUAAAUAAAAUUAAUACAUAUAUUCGGUUCGAUUUCAUCAUCAUUGAAACCGAAACCAAACCACAUGAUUUCGGUUUGGUUUUUUUUUUUCGGUUUGUUAUUUAAGUUUAUGUUCGGUGUAUCGUUCAGGUUUAUUUUUUUCGAUUUUUUGAACCCACCUUUAGUACAUGACCUUAUUCUAUUUUAAAGGUGGUGCACAGGUUGGUUUUGAUGUUGGUGGCCGUCAUGGGUUUAUGAACAAACAUGACAAGGUUGAAUUGGACAUGGCUCAUGUUUGUGGGUUUUGCAUUGAUUGAAUUGUAUUUUAAAUGUGAGCCAAAGUUUGGGGAUCAAUGCUCCAAUUAGGACAAAGUCUAAGGACUAAUUCAAACGUUAACAAAACAUAAUAAUAGUAAUAUGUCACUUAUGCGAUAUGUUAACAUUAAAAUCUGAUCAUAAUGAUUCACAAGUAACGAAUUUAUAGUCACGUGACGUUUUAAUAUUGUAUGUAUAAUUUGUUGUGAGACGUCACACGAGGAAGACCCCUUCAGUAUAAGAGCUUUGCAAAGGAAAAGGAUUCUCACCGGAUCUUUUUUUUGAGGAUCCUAGGGAUUCCGUGAUCGUGAUCGUUCAUCGUACAUCGUACAUCGUGCGAUCAGAAAUCAUUUCAAAAUUUAAAAUUUAAAACUAAAUAUAAAUAAUAUCUACCAAAAAUUGAUCGUACCAUGAACAGGAUGCUUAGGAUUUCCAGAAAAAAAGAUCCGGCCUUUGCAAAACCUUUAGCAUAGAAUGGAAAAAUGACCAACCAAUGUCGGAGAUGAUUUGUUGGAACUAAAUACACUAUAAAAUAGUUAAAGGUAGUACGCUAGUGCAUGCUACUGCUUUUUACAAAAUGGGCGGUGGAUAGAGAAUGAGAGCCUGGGGACCCUAAUGAGCUUGACCACUGGUUUGUUAGAUGGCUGAGAAUCAACAUCUCUUUUUCUGUGACUUGAAGCACAAUUAGGUUUGAUAUAAGUUAAUGCAAGAAAUAUGGGAAAUUCAAAAGAUUCUUACUAUAUCAAAGAAAUAACAUAUCAGUCAUGAGUUGAACGUUAUUUUAUAUUAGUCACUGAAGGAUUAGUUAUUUUAUAUUAGUCACUGAAGGAUUAGCCAUCGUCAUCGUUAAUGACAUCGUCAAACACGUAUGGUAAUAGUAUGAUCAUCAGACUCUAUAUAGUACACACUCAUAAUGCACCUUAUUCACACCUAAACGAAAAAAUUAUAGGAAAACAAAAAUUGGUAGAAAGUGAGAGAAUUAGUGCAUAGAGAGAAUUAAUGAAAAAAGAAAAGAGUGGUGUUUUCGGAGAAUGAUUAUAUGUUCUCUCUGUUCACAUAACUGUGAAUUAUACAUUUUAAGUGAUUUAUGUAUUUGCUAAAUGGUUUAAAUUCAUCGUACUCUUUUUAUCUCCUCAAGUGAAACAAAACAAAGAUAGACUCGUAAUUCAUAAAAUUGGAAUCUUAAUUUGAUAAAAUGUGGAGCAUUUGUCCUUUACAUAUUCAUAACAAACGAAGCAUGUAACAUGUGUUUCACUUGCUUAAUUUAACGGAAGUUCUCAUGUAAAUGCUAUGCAUUUUAUAAAACGAAGCAUGUACCAUAAUUGACUUUUUAAUAUAAAAAUACAAUUUUUCGUAAAGAUAAACAGUGUCAGAAACUUUUCAUUAAAAUUCCUGUAUAAAAUUCUGAUACAAUUCUAUACAUCUCGUCAAAGAGAGAUAAAAACACGCCACACAAGUGGAAAACACGAAGAAAACCGACUUGAUUGGAUUCGACACAGCCAACUUACAGCCACAAGUGUGACUACCAACGAAACCCGAUCUGGUUUUAUGAGAUUGUGAGAUUCUUUUGGGGUAACCAAGUGAGUCUUCUGCAUGAAAAGGAGGGAAGUCCUUGCUAAUCUGCUUGCAUCAUGUAACAGCGCGAAAUCAGUGGCGCAAUUGCACUCUCAAACCCUCAAAGCCGGCCUUUCCCAGGACAGCUUCUUUGCCACAAAACUCAACGCUCUGUACGCAAAAUAUGAGUCCCUCGGUCAUGCCCGCAAGGUGUUCGACGAAACGCUCCACAGAACUGUCUAUCUCUGGAAUGCCAUGCUCAGGAGCUACUGUAGAGAGGACCGAUGGGAGGAGACCUUGUGUCUAUUUCGUAGCAUGAUGUCUGAGUCAAGAGGUAAUGAUGAAAAGCCUGAUAAUUUCACCAUUCCCAUUG